GACGAACGCUGGCGGCGUGCUUAACACAUGCAAGUCGAACGGAAAGGCCCUGCUUUUGUGGGGUGCUCGAGUGGCGAACGGGUGAGUAACACGUGAGUAACCUGCCCUUGACUUUGGGAUAACUUCAGGAAACUGGGGCUAAUACCGGAUAGGAGCUCCUGCUGCAUGGUGGGGGUUGGAAAGUUUCGGCGGUUGGGGAUGGACUCGCGGCUUAUCAGCUUGUUGGGGGGGUAGUGGCUUACCAAGGCUUUGGCGGGUAGCCGGCCUGAGCGGGUGACCGGCAACAUUGGGACUGAGAUACGGCCCAGCCUCCUACGGGAGGCAGCAGUGGGGAAUAUUGCACAAUAGGCGGAAGCCUGAUGAAGCAACGCCGCGUGCGGGAUGACGGCCUUCGGGUUGUAAACCGCUUUCGCCUGUGACGAAGCGUGAGUGACGGUAAUGGGUAAAGAAGCACCGGCUAACUACGUG
rnacentral:rRNA from 1 species